rnacentral:lncRNA from 1 species
UCAAUUAUAAGGAAGAUAAUAAACAACAAGCUAAGAACCUCAAAUUCAGAACGAUGGAAUAUUAAAAUCUGAAGAGACGACCCAAACUUAAAUCUUCUUUCGUUUGUUUUUUUCUUAUUUUCUUUCAAUUUCUUUUUCUCCCUUUAUUUUCCCUGAUUCUAAUUCUUCUUUCUCGUUCAUCACUUAGUCUCCGUAAUCCAGUUCCCACAGAGUCCGCCGCCGCGAUUAACCUGAACAACUUCACCACAACAAACCGAGAACCGACUCCGACAACGAGACCCACCCCCAAAUCCCAGCCCACAACCGCCCACCAUCCCAUUGCGAAACGACUACGUUUUGACGCCGACGACGAGGCUAAUGGAUUAAUUCCGCUAGUGUCGCACUCAUGGUGUCGGCUUUGGAGACCCGAAAAUUUCGAUUGGUUGUACAGAUCUUGGCUGGAUACUUGAAAAAUCAACUGAUUCGGGUUAUUCCAAAUCAUUGUCACCUUCACCUAUGGCCGUGAAGGGAGGAGUGAGGCUGGCGGUCGUCGGAAAAUUAAGGGACUUGUUGAAAUGAGAGUGUCUGGUUCUUUGGAUUGGGGGAUGAGUUGGAUUUGGGUGGUGUGGGCGACGGAUGAC